rnacentral:lncRNA from 1 species
AAGUAGCAAAAUGACCUCCAUAGGAUGAUCCAUGACAAUGUGUAAGGAUCCCAUCAACUUCUUCUUUAGCAACUACUCUUCUAUAGAGUUGAUCUCUACAAAGUAUGUAGAGGUAUGGUUCAUCCCAAUAGCAUCUCUUCACAUCUUUGUAGAACUUCUUCUUGGCAUAUCCUUCAAGACCCAAUGGCUCUCUUCCGCAAGCUAAGUAGUUCACCAAAUCAGUAUACCAAUGACCUUUCUCUUCAGUUGCCUUCACCUCUUCAAGCUUCUUUCCAGUUUCACAAACUGCUACUACUGCUCUAAUAGCCAUGA